rnacentral:tRNA from 13 species
GCGGGUGUAGCUCAGUGGUAGAGCCCCGGCCUUCCAAGCCGGUUGCGAGGGUUCGAUCCCCUUCACCCGCUCCA